UACGAAGGGGGGCUAGCGUUGUUCGGAUUUACUGGGCGUAAAGCGCACGUAGGCGGUCUGUCGCGUCGGCUGUGAAAACCCGGAGCUCAACUCCGGGCCUGCAGUCGAUACGGGCAAACUGGAGUGUUGCAGGGGAGACUGGAAUUCCUGGUGUAGCGGUGAAAUGCGCAGAUAUCAGGAGGAACACCGGUGGCGAAGGCGGGUCUCUGGGCAACAACUGACGCUGAGGAGCGAAAGCGUGGGGAGCGAACAGG
rnacentral:rRNA from 1 species